rnacentral:lncRNA from 1 species
GAAGAAACUCAGUGGAAACCUUGCUUGGUGGAGACAGUGCACAGUGUUAGUGCCACAUUCACAGGGGCAGAAAUGCUCGGUCACCCUGUGCACCCAAAGUCACCCAGGAUCUCUAGAAAAGAUCCCACUUACUGAAGUGCCUCGGAUGUCUUCAGGGCCAGAUUGUAACUACACAGGAACAGGGAAGGGCUAAGCUGAACUGCAAAUUGACAAACACAAACGAUGAGUCACAGGACUCUACAGUAGUUACAAUGGCAUUUUUAUAUGUCCCAAGUGUUGACUGGAGAGUAAAGUGUUAACUGAGCUGCUAGAACACCCUUCACUGAAAGAGCUUUCUACCCCACGCCCAUUGUUCCGAAGAAGGAGAGGCUAUGUGGGGCGGAUGGGAACCCACACACCGAGAUGAACUUUUCUCUUUCUUCCAAUCUGCACCCACCAUCUGACAUUCUGGAGUGUAAGGCACUAGAACCUGGCUUAGAGAAUAGUGGGGCUCUAAGCUCCAGUUCUUGGUGUGCAAAGGAAAUUCUGACAUACAUCUUUUGAAAGAGAUGCUAAAAAACCCUCCCUAUCUCCUGUAAUUUCUGUCUUUGACAGACAGGAAAAUAAGAAGGCAGAAGAUGGUCUGCAAAGGAUAAAAACAGGUGCAUCUAAGAAUGAGAAAAAUGGCUCAUGAAGAAAUGUGUAACUCUCCAAGAGAUGCAGACACUCUGCUCAGAGAAGUCAAGAACCAUAAACAACUCUUCAUGUUUCAUGGACAAAGGGAAGGCAAAGGCAUACAAAAAUACUCAGUUGUCUUGAAAAGUGUACUGGUAGUGAUCAGGGCUACAAAGGCGAGCCCUGUACUGACAAUGGAGGAGCCUUACAACUCAGCACCUUAAAUUGUUGGCCUGAAGUGGUGGCGGGGAGGGAGGCGCUGACGGAGAGACCCAUGGCUCACCACUUAUUGCGUGUACACAAGGCCUGGGGCAAGCCUCACAAGUCUACCAUUUCUUCCACUCAACUGUGCUUCUCCUGAAUCCAUGUGCCUGAAAUGACAUAUGCAAGGUUCUCAAAAAGUGGUGUAGACUCAGGCAAAUGCCAGGAAAUGUGUCCAUAUGCCAGAGGAGACACAGAGCCAGAAAUGAAGGCUAUGGGUCCUGUCUUCAGUGAAACACUGAACGCUCUCGGAAAGCUCCCAUCAUUCUUGCAUCGCUACUGCCACCAAGACGGUGGCAAGGGAGGAGGCUAACUUUCAAAUGCAUGCAACGGCAGAGUUCCUGAAUGAGAGCUUUUCUGGCUUCAGUACCAAUGAUCACAGAAGGAACAUCUUCCUGAUGCAAGCUUAGAUGGAAGUCAAUGACCCUGGCAGUGCUAAGAACAGAAGUCACACGUGGCCUGACGAUGAAGGGGAGGUUCAGAUGGCAUACACCGACAAGAGAAGGCAGAGACCAUCCUUCGUGGUGAGCACAAAAUGCUAUGACAGGUAAUUGCAGAGAGAAAAAAGCACCCAACUCUGUAAAGCCAAGUCCAGUCACCCAUUCACAAGAGUCCAAAAUCCUUCAAAUCUCUAGGGACAGAAGACAAACGUGCUGCCCAGAAUGAGCUGAGACACAAGGCAAACCCUUGGAAAUGACACAUGGAUGAGGAGGCUGUGGUUGUCCCUCCUUAUUCCUGCUGGAUUUGCAGCCACGGCUCUGGAUCUGGGGCAUCUACUGGCCUCCCCUGUUCACUCAAGAGGCCACUGCCUCUCAGGAGUCCAGAAUGCUCUGAUAUCUGACACCGGUGGUCAGGAAGUUAUGCUGCCCUCUCCUCUUGAACAGCUAAGAUGCUUGGACACUAGACAGAGGCAAAGCAGUUAUGCCAGAAGCAGGGGAGAGUCAUUCACUGUCAGAUCUGUCUGUUCAAAGAGCUCACAUUAGACCAAUCACAGAAAACCACCAGACUCACACAGCUUGUAUUUGAAUGAACCAGGAGAGACUUCAAGGAUCAACUCUAAAGUGCUAGAAGAGAAAUCUGUGUUUGGGGCACUGAAUAAACAAGUGAUGUCCUAGAAGAUCAACACCCCAUCAGUCUUAGGAGUAUGACCCUAUUCAUGGACAAGGGGUUUCAAUGGACAGCCUGAGUGCUCAGCCCCCCAUCCUCCUCUCCUAGCAAGACAAGCAGUCUGUUGCUCAGAGGGGGAAACUGAUGUCAUUUAACAGGAGGUCAGGAUUUCUGGUUCUACUUCAACAAACAGUGCAUAAUUUUGGACACAGCAUCAGAUUUCCUGACUUCUUACAAAGGACAGCUAAUUAAAAACGUGUCAAUCUGUAGUAAUUAGUUGGAGAUUAACAAGGGCAGAAGAGAAUCCAAGUCUUAAAACUCUAUGUGGGAUACAUUUCUGAUGAAGCUUCUAUUUGACUAAUAUACUGUGAUGAUGGCACUAUUCGAUUUUAAACUAUGGAGACAGCUUUUAUUAUUUCGAUUUGGAUCCUGGUAAGUGGUGAUACUGCUAUGUAACAGUUAAAGCACAAAUGUAUUGCCAUAGUUAAGGUUGAAGAGUUAUGUCUAUGUGUAACUAAAUUCUUCUGGAUUCAAUUACAAAUACGUUUUCCUUUACAAAGAUGGCUUUGGAGGGGUGCAAAUGCUACGUGUUUGGAAGAGCAGAGGAGGCCUGCAGCUCUCAGUCACCUGUCUCCAUCUUCGGAGGAGGGCGUCGCGACCAAUGAAAUCCAUGCCCUAAGAAAGAAAGGAAACGCCGAGUCAUCCAGCGACACUCAGACCCUCGGCACAGAGAGCAGCACCGUGGGAAGGGUCCCCUGGUGUCACUGCAAUGGGGCACAGCCGCCUCCUCCCACAACCCUGCCAGCUUUU